rnacentral:rRNA from 1 species
GACGAACGCUGGCGGCGUGCUUAACACAUGCAAGUCGAACGGAAAGGCCCUGCUUGCAGGGUACUCGAGUGGCGAACGGGUGAGUAACACGUGGGUGAUCUGCCCUGCACUUCGGGAUAAGCUUGGGAAACUGGGUCUAAUACCGGAUAGGAACCAUCUUUAGUGUGGUGGUUGGAAAGUUUUUUCGGUGUAGGAUGAGCUCGCGGCCUAUCAGCUUGUUGGUGGGGUAAUGGCCUACCAAGGCGGCGACGGGUAGCCGGCCUGAGAGGGUGGACGGCCACAUUGGGACUGAGAGACAGCCCAGACUCCUGCGGGAGGGAGCAGUGGGGAAUAUUGGACAAUGGGCGCAAGCCUGAUGCAGCAAGGCCGCGUGGGGGAUGAAGGCCUUCGGGUUGUAAAAACCUUUCGCUAGGAACGAAGCUUUGUUGUGACGGUACCUAGAUAAGAAGCACCGGCUAACUACGUG